rnacentral:misc_RNA from 1 species
GUCGAAGGUGGGGCUGAUGACUGGGGUGAAGUCGUAACAAGGUAUCCGUACCGGAAGGUGCGGAUGGAUCACCUCCUAACAGGGAGACAAAACAAUGAUUUUGAUGUCUGAGUAUUUCAUUCUUAGGCCGAAAUCCUGUCACCUUAGGUCGAUCGGUACCUCAACAUUUUUCUAAAGAUUGGUGAGCAAUCAUCAAGAGAUUGGAAGGGAUGUUCAGUUCCUAAACUUUGUCUAGGUCACACCCCGCAAGGGAAGAGUCCCCUGGGCCAUUAGCUCAGGUGGUUAGAGCGCACCCCUGAUAAGGGUGAGGUCCCUGGUUCAAGUCCAGGAUGGCCCAUUCGGUGUUGGGGGUUUAGCUCAGUUGGUAGAGCGCCUGCUUUGCAAGCAGGAUGUCAGGAGUUCGAGUCUCCUAACCUCCACUGACAGAACUCAAUCUCCAUUGUCCGGUAACUCGGAGGAUGAACUCAAAGGUGUGUGAUUUAGAUGUGUCCACUAGAUAGGACCCUAGCUUCCUGUCAUUCCGAACAAGUAAUUAUUGCUUGAUUGGCUGAUAUGAUGCUGGGCUCAGAUUAAUCGAAAGAUUAAUUUGAUCUCUAGUAGAACCUUGACAACUGCAUAAGUAAGUCUGGAAAAACGAAGCAUCUUACAGAUGCAUUGUUUUAAGUCUGAAUUCUCGAAAGAGAGUUUAGAUCUAGAAUGAUGAAAAUUCUUUUAAGCAAGAGCCGAGACUCUUAGAUGUUCUUUUUAUCGUGUCGAGCGAUAAAGAGUUUGAUUUUGUUUUUAUGAGUAGUGAAAGCUGCUGAUGAAACCAGAAGAAUCUGCUUUCAACCGCAGUAAGCGUUUAAGAGGUUAAUUGGUCAAGCUACAAAGGGCUC